rnacentral:lncRNA from 1 species
AUUCUUCACCCAUGGUUGCUUAGGUUUAUAAGCAAGGAAGCUGAAUGAAGUCCCUUUCCUCUCUGGGUGAGCCCCUGGGUUUCUGGAAGAGUCUUAAAAUCACCCCUAAAUGGCUUCCAAGCACUGAAGCCCGAGAUGUCAGCUGGCCUGUGUGAGGCCUUGAGACAGAAUGCCACAGCCACACCCCAAGGAUGCUGAAGGGGAUUUCCCUCCUCUGUGGUUUUUCUCCUUUCUUCCCACAGUACUCCUCCUACGUGCUAACAUCUUCUAGUCAAACAACUCUCCUUUUCAAAGGGACCAGGCACAGUUUCUGCUUAUCCCUGAGUAGCAGUGUUCAGUUUCCUGCCAGCCUGUGGAGUUUUUCAAACAAGCCAAUCACCUCCUCCUGUGGGAACUGAGAAGCACCCCACCCUCUCGAUACUACAAAGCCCCUGCUUGUUCCCUAGUGCAACUCCCAUGUGGUCCUGUGGAGCAUAUGGUAUCUUCCUCUUCUGGGCAGUG